rnacentral:rRNA from 1 species
AUUGAACGCUGGCGGCAUGCCUUACACAUGCAAGUCGAACGGCAGCACGGGAGCAAUCCUGGUGGCGAGUGGCGAACGGGUGAGUAAUAUAUCGGAACGUGCCCAGUCGUGGGGGAUAACGCAGCGAAAGCUGUGCUAAUACCGCAUACGAUCUAUGGAUGAAAGCGGGGGAUCGCAAGACCUCGCGCGAUUGGAGCGGCCGAUAUCAGAUUAGCUAGUUGGUGGGGUAAAGGCCCACCAAGGCGACGAUCUGUAGCUGGUCUGAGAGGACGACCAGCCACACUGGAACUGAGACACGGUCCAGACUCCUACGGGAGGCAGCAGUGGGGAAUUUUGGACAAUGGGCGCAAGCCUGAUCCAGCAAUGCCGCGUGCAGGAUGAAGGCCUUCGGGUUGUAAACUGCUUUUGUACGGAACGAAACGGUCCUUUCUAAUACAGGGGGCUAAUGACGGUACCGUAAGAAUAAGCACCGGCUAACUACGUGCCAGCCGCCGCAGUAAUAC